GGAAGUUGUUCACUGUCCAGAAUACAAGCUUUUCCAAAAACUAACAAAGAUGUGUAGGUUUUUUGCCAACACAUUAGUCCACUACAUGAAGGAAUUUAAAACAUUCCUUGCCAAGUCAUGCUGUCGAUUUCAUCAGUUGUAUCUCCAAAUCCACAGCAAGUUCCCCC